GAAGUGACGAGAAACAUGAAGGAAGGAAACAAUACUGGAACGAAGAAUGAACAAACAAGGAAAAGGUAGUGACGGGAAGUGAAGAGAAACAUGACGGUGGGAAACAAUACUGGAACGAAGAAUGAACAAACAAGGAAAAGGUAGUGACGGGAAGUGACGAGAAACAUGACGGCGGGAAACAAUACUGGAACGAAGAAUGAACAAACAAGGAAAAGGUAGUGACGGGAAGUGACGAGAAACAUGACGGCGGGAAACAAUACUGGAACGAAGAAUGAACAAACAAGGAAAAGGUAGUGACGGGAAGUGAAGAGAAACAUGACGGCGGGAAACAAUAUUGGAACGAAGAAUGAACAAACAAGGAAAAGGUAGUGACGGGAAGUGAAGAGAAACAUGACGGUGGGAAACAAUACUGGAACGAAGAAUGAACAAACAAGGAAAAGGUAGUGACGGGAAGUGAAGAGAAACAUGAAGGAAGGAAACAAUACUGGGACGAAGAAUGAACAAACAAGGAAAAGGUAGUGACGGGAAGUGACGAGAAACAUGACGGUGGGAAACAAUACUGGAACGAAGAAUGAACAAACAAGGAAAAGGUAGUGACGGGAAGUGACGAGAAACAUGACGGUGGGAAACAAUACUGGGACGAAGAAUGAACAAACAAGGAAAAGGUAGUGACGGGAAGUGACGAGAAACAUGAAGGAAGGAAACAAUACUGGGACGAAGAAUGAACAAACAAGGAAAAGGUAGUGACGGGAAGUGAAGAGAAACAUGAAGGAAGGAAACAAUACUGGGACGAAGAAUGAACAAACAAGGAAAAGGUAGUGACGGGAAGUGAAGAGAAACAUGAAGGAAGGAAACAAUACUGGGACGAAGAAUGAACAAACAAGGAAAAGGUAGUGACGGGAAGUGAAGAGAAACAUGAAGGAAGGAAACAAUACUGGGACGAAGAAUGAACAAACAAGGAAAAGGUAGUGACGGGAAGUGAAGAGAAACAUGAAGGAAGGAAACAAUACUGGGACGAAGAAUGAACAAACAAGGAAAAGGUAGUGACGGGAAGUGACGAGAAACAUGACGGCGGGAAACAAUACUGGGACGAAGAAUGAACAAACAAGGAAAAGGUAGUGACGGGAAGUGACGAGAAACAUGACGGUGGGAAACAAUACUGGGACGAAGAAUGAACAAACAAGGAAAAGGUAGUGACGGGAAGUGACGAGAAACAUGACGGCGGGAAAUAAUACUGGGACGAAGAAUGAACAAACAAGGAAAAGGUAGUGACGGGAAGUGACGAGAAACAUGACGGCGGGAAAUAAUACUGGGACGAAGAAUGAACAAACAAGGAAAAGGUAGUGACGGGAAGUGACGAGAAACAUGACGGCGGGAAAUAAUACUGGGACGAAGAAUGAACAAACAAGGAAAAGGUAGUGACGGGAAGUGACGAGAAACAUGAAGGAAGGAAACAAUACUGGGACGAAGAAUGAACAAGCAAGGAAAAGGUA